CAGCUUGAAUAGCACCAAAUCAUUAGUUUCCGCCUCUUGAUUUGGAUAGGAACUUCUCUGAUCGACUCAAUUAGGGCCAAACGCGAUCCUACAAAUUGAAGUUGUUUGUGAUUCGUUUGUCUGUUUAGGUGUGGUGUGUGAGAGAGGAAGCAGGUGGAAUGAGAGUGUGUGGAUCGCGAGCUGUAGAUUGAACCAAAUUUCAACCAGUUAGGGUUUCAAUUGAGGCAUAUGUUGUUUUAUCUAGCUCGAUUAAUCGAUUUCAUUCAGCUUCAGUAAUCAAUCAUCAAUAAUUAGGUCAAAUUGUUCAGGAUAAUUAGGUCAAAUUGUUCAGGAUAAAUUGUUGGUGAUUCUAAAAAAGUAUUGGUUCAGGAUAAAUCAAUAAUCAGCAUGGAGGUCUCUCCAACAAUCGUUUUUGAAGGGAAAUUGAGUAAUCUUAUCGAUUAGGUUUUCGAUUUAUUCUACUAGCAUGUAAUGUGUUAAUCGACGGUAGUUAAUGAUCUUGUAUUUUUGAUCUAUUCUACUGGCAUCUGGAAUUUGUUAUGAUGUAUUUUGAUUUUAGUUAGGCUUUAGGAUCAAGUUCAACAGAAGAGUUUGAGAUAGUGAAUCGAUCGGCUUCGGAAUGAAUUAUAUAUUAGGGGCUUUCAGGCCGUCUUGUAACAUCUCGAUCACGCUUAAUGAUGGAAAAACUCGCACGUAGGUGAUUGGGAUUUUACAAAUCAUACAAGGGCAUACUAGGGUUGUGGUUUGAAGACUCAAGACUACAGAGAUUUCGUUUCAUUACAAGUAAUUAUUUGAGUUUCCGGUCACCGCAGCGGCGGUCAGCAGCCGCAACCCAAGUGGUUGCUAGGGUUUUGGUUAUCGUUUCUUGGUACAACAGCAAAACUCGACUGUGACGGCAGUUUAGGGUGAAGAGGAUGGCUUCAAGAAGCUCCGGCGAAACUCCUAGGGUUUCGGACAUAUGUCCGGAAGGGUUAAAGCUUGCUUUUCCGAUUAUAAAGGCACAAGUCCCGGGGGACUGAUGGUGGUCAGCUCUCUAUAAAGUAGUCGAAGGUCUAUCUGUGAUGGGAAAGUUGGGUCGUAGCAAGCUCAAGCUAUCGAAAUAUGGCGUCAAAGAUAAAUUGAUUGACUGGGACCUUACUCAGAUUUAGGAUAUACUCGCUGUUCCAGUUAUCAGAAUUUGUGGGUUGGAUCUGUUGAAGAAAUCCAAGCGAGGAUGGUGUGAUAGUGUUGGAUCUGUUGAAGAAAUCCAAGUGAACUUGAUAAGGAGACAUGAAGCAGCUGCUAAAUGUGAAAGAGUCAUGGCAUAUGCUCUUUUGCUUACCAGGAGGAUGAGAUGGAGGAUAGUUCUGAAGAAUCUAUAGUCGAUGUAGAUGUUUGUGAUGUCGGAAAUCAACUUGCGGUUGUCGAGUAUGUCAAAGAUCUGUAUGCUUAUUAUAGAAGCAUGGAGAGUUGUAGCUUGGGUUUCACCCGAGUAUAUGAGCCAACAAUUUGACAUCAAUGAAAGUAUGCGAGCCAAAGCUGUUAACUGACUCAUUGAGGUGCAUUGUGAACUUAAACUUCAACCCAAGACCCUGUUCUUGGAAGUUAACCUCAUAGUGCUCAUAGACUGAUUUUUGGCAAAACAAUCUGCAAAGAGUUCGCAGUUAGUUGGUUUAGUUGCGAUGUUCUUGUCUUGUAAAUGUGAACAAGGUUCAAUACUCUUAAUCAAAGAUUUGACUUCAUACUCGGUCAACGCUUACUCACGAAGUGACAUUCUUGAAAUGGUACACUAUGUUUGGCAAAAGUAGCCGGUAGCUGGUGGCUGGAAGCUGUUAAUUGUUAGCUGUAGCUGGUAGCUAGUAGCUGUAGCUUUUUAGAUAUAUUUGGUG